ensembl:misc_RNA Y_RNA Y RNA
GGCUGGUCUGAGUGCAGUGGUGUUUACAACCAAUUGAUCACAACCAAUUACAGAUUUUUUUUGUUUCUUCUCCUCUCCCACUGGUUCACUUGACCAGCCUUUA